rnacentral:lncRNA from 1 species
AUUUAUCUCUGAUUUAUGAGAGAUUUUUCCCUGUAUGUAUUUUUGUUUUUAUAGAGUGGAACUGAUCAGUAUUUUUCUUUUGUUAUGUCAGCUUUUUUCUUCCUAGGGAGAAACACCUUUCCAAUUUGGAGAUCAUAAAAAGAUCUUUCUUUUUUUGUUCUGAGUGAUUUUAUGGUUCCAAUUUUAAUAUUUAGGUAUUAGCAAGUUGUCUGUGUUUCGGGCACUUCUCACCCGUUUUGCAGAUUGCAUAUGUCUACCUCAAGAUGAGCAUGCCUUUAGGGUGUUAGUGUUUUCUCUUAUCUCACCUGUUCUCACUGGGGUGCGCUGGGGUGAAUGAAGGCAUUUCAAGGAGUAACACUAAAAGUGUCUAGGUGCCCACAAAGGGGACAUCUUAAAGGACCGGUGCCAGUGUUGAGAAGUGCAUGACUAGUGUAAUGAUCUAUAAUGAGUCCUUAUGCAGCUUGGUGGUUCCAAGUCUUUGCUCUCAUCAACACUGAAGGAAUACUGUUAGGUUGUCAGUGGCUAGAAAUUAAUUUUUUGUUGAUUGAUAACUGUGUUUUUUUUGUAUCUAAUUUGCAAAGAAUUAAAAGGAAAUGAAGGACAUUAAUAAACCUUUUUGCAUCUGCAUCUACUUAUAUAUAUGAACAGUUGUCUCAGCGUUUACAUUAAAAAGGGAAUAAAAUUAAUGAUAAAUCUCCCUCUCAUAAUGAAGAAUGUUCAUCCAUGUAGGUAUAAAUUAAUUUUAAAAAGUCUCAUCUAUCUUAUUAAGAAAUGUAUUUCCUGCCUAAACAUAUUUUUCAUAUUUAAAAUUACUUAUCAGAACCACAUAAAAAUAGAAAUUGAAAUGAUAACUUAAUCCAGAAGAAAUUCUUUGCCAUUUAUAUUCUAUGGCUAUUGGAACUUAAAUAAAAAUGUAUUUUCACUUAUUCAUUUUUUUGUCUUUGUUACAGGGAAUUAUGAUAGUGUGAUCAAUAAUAUACUUUCAAGCAUAAAAUUUACACUAUGAUAAAAUUCUAUGGGAGAAGUAGAAUGGAAAUAUAAGUUCAAGAAAGAAAAGGGGAAAAAAAAAGACAAGGAAUGCUGUAAGUUUUUACUGUUAAAAAGAGCUUGUUUAUGG